CUAUGGGUCGCUGCAGUGGGGAAUAUUGCACAAUGGAGGAAACUCUGAUGCAGCAACGCCGCGUGGAGGAUGACACUUUUCGGAGCAUAAACUCCUUUUAUAUAGGAAGAAGAUGACGGUACUAUAUGAAUAAGCGCCGGCUAACUCCGUGCCAGCAGCCGCGGUAAUACGGAGGGCGCAAGCGUUACUCGGAAUCACUGGGCGUAAAGAGCGUGUAGGCGGAUUAAAAAGUCAGAAGUGAAAUCCUAUAGCUUAACUAUAGAACUGCUUCUGAAACUCUUAAUCUAGAAUAUGGGAGAGGUAGAUGGAAUUUCUGGUGUAGGGGUAAAAUCCGUAGAGAUCAGAAGGAAUACCGAUUGCGAAGGCGAUCUACUAGAACAUUAUUGACGCUGAGACGCGAAAGCGUGGGGAGCAAACAGGAUUAGAUACCCGGGUAGUC
rnacentral:rRNA from 1 species